rnacentral:rRNA from 1 species
GACGAACGCUGGCGGCGUGCCUAAUACAUGCAAGUCGAGCGGACGAAUCGAAAGCUUGCUUUUGAUUCGUUAGCGGCGGACGGGUGAGUAACACGUGGGCAACCUGCCCUGUAGACGGGGAUAACACCGAGAAAUCGGUGCUAAUACCGGAUAACAUGAAAUGUCGCAUGACGUUUCGUUGAAAGACGGCGCAAGCUGUCGCUACAGGAUGGGCCCGCGGCGCAUUAGCUAGUUGGUGAGGUAACGGCUCACCAAGGCGACGAUGCGUAGCCGACCGGAGAGGGUGAUCGGCCACACUGGGACUGGGACACGGCCCAGACUCCUACGGGAGGCAGCAGUAGGGAAUCUUCCGCAAUGGACGAAAGUCUGACGGAGCAACGCCGCGUGGGCGAAGAAGGCCUUCGGGUCGUAAAGCUCUGUUGUUAGGGAAGAACAAGUAACGCAGUAACUGGCGUUACCGUGACGGUACCUAACGAGAAAGCCACGGCUAACUACGUGCCAGCCGCCGCAGUAAGAC